GACGAACGCUGGCGGCGUGCUUAACACAUGCAAGUCGAACGGAAAGGCCCUGCUUUUGUGGGGUGCUCGAGUGGCGAACGGGUGAGUAACACGUGAGUAACCUGCCCUUGACUUUGGGAUAACUUCAGGAAACUGGGGCUAAUACCGGAUAGGAGCUCCUGCUGCAUGGUGGGGGUUGGAAAGUUUCGGCGGUUGGGGAUGGACUCGCGGCUUAUCAGCCUGUUGGUGGGGUAGUGGCUUACCAAGGCUUUGACGGGUAGCCGGCCUGAGAGGGUGACCGGCCACAUUGGGACUAAGAUACGGCCCAGACUCCUACGGGAGGCAGCAGUGGGGAAUAUUGCACAAUGGGCGGAAGCCUGAUGCAGCAACGCCGCGUGCGGGAUGACGGCCUUCGGGUUGUAAACCGCUUUCGCCUGUGACGAGGCGUGAGUGACGGUAAUGGGUAAAGAAGCACCGGCUAACUACGUG
rnacentral:rRNA from 1 species